AUUGAACGCUGGCGGCAGGCCUAACACAUGCAAGUCGAACGGUAACAGGAAGCAGCUUGCUGCUUCGCUGACGAGUGGCGGACGGGUGAGUAAUGUCUGGGAAACUGCCUGAUGGAGGGGGAUAACUACUGGAAACGGUAGCUAAUACCGCAUAACGUCGCAAGACCAAAGAGGGGGACCUUAGGGCCUCCUGCCAUCGGAUGUGCCCAGAUGGGAUUAGCUAGUAGGUGGGGUAACGGCUCACCUAGGCGACGAUCCCUAGCUGGUCUGAGAGGAUGACCAGCCACACUGGAACUGAGACACGGUCCAGACUCCUACGGGAGGCAGCAGUGGGGAAUAUUGCACAAUGGGCGCAAGCCUGAUGCAGCCAUGCCGCGUGUAUGAAGAAGGCCUUCGGGUUGUAAAGUACUUUCAGCGGGGAGGAAGGGAGUAAAGUUAAUACCUUUGCUCAUUGACGUUACCCGCAGAAGAAGCACCGGCUAACUCCGUG
rnacentral:rRNA from 1 species